rnacentral:rRNA from 1 species
GUAAGGGAAUCUUCCACAAUGGACGAAAGUCUGAUGGAGCAACGCCGCGUGAGUGAAGAAGGGUUUCGGCUCGUAAAGCUCUGUUGGUAGUGAAAGAAAGAUAGAGGUAGUAACUGGCCUUUUAUUUGACGGUAAUUACUUAGAAAGUCACGGCUAACUACGUGCC